rnacentral:rRNA from 1 species
UAGUCGGUUGUCGUCAGGCUCGUGUCGUGAGAUGUUGGGUUAAGUCCCGCAACGAGCGCAACCCCUAUUGUUAGUUGCCAUCAUUCAGUUGGGCACUCUAGCGAGACUGCCGGUAAUAAACCGGAGGAAGUGGGGAUGACGUCAAAUCAUCAUGCCCCUUAUGACCUGGGCUACACACGUGCUACAAUGGUUGGUACAACGAGUUGCGAGUCGGUGACGGCGAGCUAAUCUCUUAAAGCCAAUCUCAGUUCGGAUUGUAGGCUGCAACUCGCCUACAUGAAGUCGGAAUCGCUAGUAAUCGCGGAUCAGCACGCCGCGGUGAAUACGUUCCCGGGCCUU